rnacentral:rRNA from 1 species
UGGGGAAUUUUGGACAAUGGGCGAAAGCCUGAUCCAGCAAUGCCGCGUGUGUGAAGAAGGCCUUCGGGUUGUAAAGCACUUUUGUCCGGAAAGAAAUCCUUGGCUCUAAUACAGUCGGGGGAUGACGGUACCGGAAGAAUAAGCACCGGCUAACUACGUGCCAGCAGCCGCGGUAAUACGUAGGGUGCAAGCGUUAAUCGGAAUUACUGGGCGUAAAGCGUGCGCAGGCGGUUUGCUAAGACCGAUGUGAAAUCCCCGGGCUCAACCUGGGAACUGCAUUGGUGACUGGCAGGCUAGAGUAUGGCAGAGGGGGGUAGAAUUCCACGUGUAGCAGUGAAAUGCGUAGAGAUGUGGAGGAAUACCGAUGGCGAAGGCAGCCCCCUGGGCCAAUACUGACGCUCAUGCACGAAAGCGUGGGGAGCAAACAGGAUUAGAUACCCUGGUAGUCCACNGCCCUAAACGAUGUCAACUAGUUGUUGGGGAUUCAUUUCCUUAGUAACGUAGCUAACGCGUGAAGUUGACCGCCUGGGGGAGUACGGCCGCAAGAUUAAAACUUAAAUGAAUUG